ensembl:lncRNA
UAUCUCAGGUUUAUAUGAUCAACUGUGUUGAAGAUCCCAGUUUCUUAUAACAAAAUUUAACACAGCCUGAUGAAAACUGAGUAUUAUAACAAGGAUUUGGGUCAUGCAAACAGAGAGUGACUGGGAUUCCUUUGACUGAUACGGAAGAAUACACAAACCUUCCAUUCUAUCAUUUUCUUUGAACUGCCUUGCAUAUAUUGCUCAUCUAAUGGACAUUUUCAAGAAAGUCUGUUGUUUGCUUUUUUUCCAGGGUUUUCAGCUUCCACUAAUGUAGGUUUCUGCUCUGAAAAUCCUGUUCUAAUAAAGUGCAUAGGAAGAUGCAUCCUAUUAUCUAUACAGAAAACUUAGUCACCAGCUGCCCUAAACUAGGGGAACUCCAUGAUUGAUGAUUUUGGUGGUUAAUGGGUUACAACAUACUUUGCAUGGCUUCCAGCUUACAGGAGUUUUCCAGAAUUACCACCCAGCCAGAGCUUUCCCACAUGGGCAUCAAACAGGCUAAUUUUUUUGUGAAACAUUUUGCUUGAGUUACAAUGAGCAAACAGGAGUCUGCAUGAAAAUUAAUGGAAGCAAUAGAGCUUCAAGUGGCAGUAUUUGUGUGUUUGCCCUAGCUUUCCAGCUUUUAUUUUUGUUUAGAAAAUACGCACUAUGAGUCACUGGGAAUGUUAAUAAUUACAGGAUUUACCCUACAGGGAAGAUGCUCUUGUUUUUUUAUGAUGCUAUGACUUGGACUAUACAGAGAGGACAUUUUUACUGUAUUCCAUGUACUGGCCAUAGUAUCAUAUAUUUAGCAUGCCUGAUUGUUUUUAAUUUUUAUAUUUUACCAAUAAUUUAAAUACUGAAAGCAUUCUUUUUUUUUAAUCAGCUGAUAAAACAAAGUACAGUGAAUUUUCAGUAUUCUGUUCUACCCUUCCUACAAUACACCCAUCAAGAUAAACACGUUUACAGGUUUUGAUUUUUUGUAAUUGCUAUUUUUCCCCUUGUUUUCCCUUUUAAUACAUCACUUUCCUUUGAAAGCGCAUGUAACUCAAGGGUAUUCUGUUCUCAUGUACUGGUUCUAAUAUUCAUUUCCCAAAUAAAUACAACAUGACUUUACUCU